rnacentral:rRNA from 1 species
UGGGGAAUAGUGGACAAUGGGCGCAAGCCUGAUCCAGCCAUGCCGCGUGAGUGAUGAAGGCCCUAGGGUUGUAAAGCUCUUUCACCGGUGAAGAUAAUGACGGUAACCGGAGAAGAAGCCCCGGCUAACUUCGUGCCAGCAGCCGCGGUAAUACGAAGGGGGCUAGCGUUGUUCGGAUUUACUGGGCGUAAAGCGGACGUAGGCGGACUAUUAAGUCAGGGGUGAAAUCCCGGGGCUCAACCCCGGAACUGCCUUUGAUACUGGUAGUCUUGAGUUCGAGAGAGGUGGGUGGAAUUCCGAGUGUAGAGGUGAAAUUCGUAGAUAUUCGGAGGAACACCAGUGGCGAAGGCGGCUCACUGGCUCGAUACUGACGCUGAGGUGCGAAAGCGUGGGGAGCAAACAGG